UGGAAACUGUAAACCUGGAGUUCGGAGUAUAUUUCCUCCUUUGACUGGUUCCCACCUGAAAGAAGGUUCAAGAUUUUGAUUUCUUUUUGUCUCUUUCUCUCCCAAACACAGUGUGUUGGGCAAAUAUAAAGCAUCUUGUGAUUUGGUCUUACUUGUACUUUGUAACCAAGCAAUGGAGAAACACAGCCAUCUGCAAUUUACUGAAGUCUGCUUCGACGCAAAAUCUCAUGCCACCAUUAAAUGCCAUGAAAUUCUUUGUGGCUCCAUUUAUUUCUACGCCCUGCAGUUAUAGAAGUAGAAGAAUUGUUGAGUUCCAAAGUAGAAUUUUAUGUGAUUAUUGUUUUAGAAGCAAUCUAGCGCGGAUGGAAUUUUAUGUGAAAGUCGGUUAGUGACAAUUAUAAAGUGCUUUCUAAAAUCCCUCCAUGUCCACUUUGUUCAACGGUAGAGAAAAAAUAAAAAUAAAAAAACAGUUUGAAGAGGAUGUGAUUAUCGGCAAACCAUUUCUCACCUAAAGGGGUUUUUGCUUCAGUUGAUAUAUCCUCUCCAACAAAGCUCGAAAAGUUGACGUUUAAUUCUAUUUUUAAAGUGGCGCGAGACGGCGUUUUUUAUGGCGGAAUUAGUGGAGGCGGAUAGGAAUUCGACGGACGAGUUACAGACGUUACGGAUUCCGGCGAUGAUUAACAGUAAAUUAAAGAUUCAGUAUAUAUCUCUAGUCAGAAUAUUGGUAUUGGUAGUCUCACAUUCAUGCCAGAAACCAUAUGAAAUCCAAGCACCACAAACGUGAUUGUUGAUAUAAAAGAAGCAUCGUCACCAUGAGUACAGGCACAACCAUUCAGAAAGGGCACACUGGUAUAUGAUGAGAUUACAAAAUUUAUAUACGACCAUUGGUGAAACUAUGAUUUAAUCUUGGUUGGAGCAGUGACCGAAUACAUUCUCUAUUUUCUAAAUUUGUCUACAAUAUGAAGAUUUACUAACAAGUUGUUAUCCUCUUCUGCAGUCCAAGAAAAAAAAAGAAUAGUAGCAACGCUGAUUGGUAAGAUGCAAAGUUGGAACAUUUUUGUGUUUUGCUUCUUAGCCAUAUAGCCUGACUUGGAUUGACAUUGUUUGCUGUUUCUGUAAAAGUUACUCCAUUCUAGUUUUCUCCAUGAGCCGUAUGUGAAAGCCAUCUGGAAACUGUAAACCUGGAGAUCGAAGUACAUUUCCACCUUUGAUUGGUUCCCACCUGAAAGAUUCAUAGAUUUAGAUGAGUUUUUUUUUUUCUUUUGUCUCUUGCUCUCCCUGACACAAAGUGUGUUGGACAGAUAUGGAACAUCUUGUAAUUUGUUCUUACCUGUACUUUGUCACCAAACAAUGGAGAAACACAGCCAUUUGCACUUUAGUGAAGUCUGUUCCAACGCAAAAUCUGAGGCCACCACCGAAUGCCAUGAAACUCUUUGUCGCUCCAUUUAUUUCCACUCCCUGCAGUUAAAGAAGUAUAAGAAUCAUUUUAUGUGAUUUUGAUUUAGUAGCAAUCUUGCAGGUAAAAGUUGAUGGAAUUGUGAAUUAACCCACCUCCCAUCUUGAUGGAUUAAAGGUCAAGGGAUCUUGGUAUUUUGCUGGAUUCAGGUGCACAGCUGGGGGACACACCAUUACUGCCCAACCAGCUGGAAUGAUUCAGGAAUCAUUUCACAUACCCUUAGUUUUUUCAGCACUGAAGGGUCGUCAGAAAGGAAUUUAAUUGCUAAAGUUAGAGCCAGGGAAGUUGUUUCAAAGCUAGCAAAUAGUAGAACGAACAUCAAAUCCAGAGCAAUUGCCUCUGUCAGAAUUGUUCCCUCUUUCUGAAGUUCUUCAAGGACAAAAUAAAAAAAGUCAUUUCGGCUAUUCCCUUGCAUUGCCCGUCUUUCAUUUAGCAGAUUCUUUAGCAUUUUCAUUGCAUUUUUCCUUCCCUGAAAAAGUAAAACAUUCAAGAAUCAAUACACAAAAGAAUGGAUUUUUUUUAACCUUGUUAUUUUGAACUGGAAUGACAAGGUUAACUACCUGUAAACAUUUGUGAUAUGCUGUUCCAGGAAUAUCCAGGGGAAAGGAGAUUAAUCCUUGUAUGAAAGCAACAAAAUUCUCCCUCAGAUUCUGGGUGGCAUUGUCUUGGUCAUAACUUAUCAGCUUUUUGGCCGUCAGAUCAAAUAUCAUCUGCAAAUAAAGACAUAAGGAUUGAUGAAGAAGAUGAUGAAUGAUAAUUUGCAGAAAUGGAAGUAAAAGAAACGUGGGAAGAAUAGACAGGUAGGAGAAGAAAGGGCUGGCAUGUAUCUUAUGAUUCUCAUCAAACCAUAAGAAGCUCUACUUAAAUAGCAAGCUAAUGCAUACAACUGUUCAAUGUAAUUAAUUAUAUAUUAUUUUUCCUUUUUCACUUUAUUAUUAUUUUUGUACUCCAAGUAUACAACUAGAAUGAAUAAUUUAGAAUUCACUCUGUCUA